UGUAAAGAAGUAAAAAUUACACUAAAGCAUUAUUUUUUAAUCUCUUUCGCGUUCUUUUCUUUACAGUUCACAACCACCGACAAAACCACUCCCAAGUUCCAUCGCAUCUCCUUCCUCUACACUUCAUCUUCUUCCUUGAUCUCAAUCGCAAUCUGAGCAUUCUCCAGAUUCGGAUUCUCCUCUCAAUUUUGAUCUGAAUCAUGCAUAGUAAUUUCUCGCCUCUGGUUCAUCCUCUCAUUGCCUGCACUGUCAUUGCGCCGUCUUCUUCUCGCCUGCGCCAUCAUAUUCUCCCUGCGUAGUCAUCUUCUCGCCGGUUCCAUCGUUUGCUCAUC